CACACACACACGCGCGCUAUAGAGAUAUGUACAAAGUUUCGUUAAGGGCUUGCGGCCUGCAAGAACGUGAGCAGAGCUUUCGUCCCCCUUAAUGCACAGGUGGUGCUUUGCCAUGGGCCGAGAAUGUGCUGUAGUACCAAGCUCAAGUCCUGUUGAAGGUAUUGCUCCAGACAUUGUGAACUGGAUGUCAGCCUACUUGAGUGGUCGUUUACAAUCCGUCCGCAUUGAAAACAUCAUGUCUCAUCCACUAGAAGUCUUGUCUGGGGUUCCACAAGGGUCAGUAUUCUGGCCGUUAUUGUUCUUGAUUUACAUCAAUGAUAUUUCCAGUGUUCUGGAACCACCUGCUAAAAUAAAACUUUUUGCCAACGAUUAUUUGCUUUAUUCUACACUGGCAGAUAAAAGCGACCAAAGAAAAGUUAGUCGAAUUAAUUAAACUUUGGAGGCAUCGAUAAACAAUGCCUCCAAGGUUUACAUGACUGGUGCGUAAAAUGGGGAAUGGCAAGUUACUCGAAAUCGACAAUCGCUCAUAUAACAAGAAAGAAAACCGGGCUUUCCUUUGAGUAUAAAAUUGGUGACAACUCUUUGUUGAACGUACAUAGCUUUAGGUACUUCGGGGUGAUCAUUCAUCGUGAGUAGUGCUGGCGCGCCUCCAGGUGGAGGAGGCCUGCUCAAGGGCUUACAGCAGACUGUUCUUUUUGAGAAAUAAGUUGCAGCAUGCACCAGCACAUUUGAAGCUCAUUGCGUACAAAACAUUUGUUCGCCCGGUCUUGAAGUACGCCUCCCCAGUUUGGAGCCCUCACCAACUGUACUUGCGAGACAAACGUGAAAAAAUUCAGAGAACUGCUGUGCGUUUUGUUUGUUCGCGUUAUCGGAGAGCCGAUUCUGUAACACACAUGUUGAAAUGUUGCGGCUUGGAACUGCUAGAAACACGACGAGAAAAAACAACUAAGUAAAUUGUUUUUCCAGAUAACCAGAAAUCAAAUAAGAAUAAACAAAGAAACAUACUUUUGCCCCCCUCUAAAACAUAGUGCGCGUUUCAACCACAGUGCUAGUAUAGAGUUUUAUAAAACACGCCUUGAUGGUUUUCAAUGCUCAUUCUUUCCUUCGUGUAUUAAUACAUGGAAUGGCCUCCGGACUGCACUGUAACAGCACGAAAUGUUAAAGAAUUUUAUACUCAACUAGAAUUGUAUUACAGGCGACGGGAUAAUUAAGAAUUGAUCAUGCUUACUGUUUUUCUUGUAUUUCUAACAGACCUUACACGUGUUCAUCCUCCCUGUAAUUUGUGUUUGACAAUGCUGUAUAAUGUUCUAUUGCCGGUGCUGAAAUUGAUCUUUUUAUUCGACAUUUUCUCUGUAAUGGCCCUCAAGUGAGGGCUACAGUAUUCCUAAAUAAAAGAAAAAGAUUGAAGCAUUGUUAGGGACAUUAGCUGUGUGACUGAAUGUUGCAGAAAUUUUUGCUCUCCACUGCAUGAAUUAAGGUCUCCAAUGAUGCUCACACUUUAUUUAGUCUCUAUAAUUGCGGACAGAAGUCCCGGAAGUACCCAGUGUAGGAAUGUUUUUACGGUGCCAGCCAAAUGGUUCACCUUCAUUCAUAGCGCACCUUCGAGCACAAUUACCAGCUACUUAUAUUAGACGCCCAUGGGGAUUUCCAAAAUCAUUGAAUUAAAUGAAGAAAGUGGCUGGGUGGAAGCUCUUAGUGUGCCCCCCCCCCCCCC
rnacentral:lncRNA from 1 species